GCCGGGCGCGGUGGCGCAGGCCUGUCGUCCCAGCUACUCGGGAGGCUGAGGCUGGAGGAUCGCUUGAGCCCAGGAGUUCUGGGCUGUAGUGCGCUAUGCCGAUCGGGUGUCCGCACUAAGUUCGGCAUCAAUAUGGUGACCUCCCGGGAGCGGGGGGCCACCAGGUUGCCUAAGGAGGGUUGAACCGGCCCAGGUUGGAGACGGAGCAGGUCAAAGCUCCCGUGCUGAUCAGUAGUGGGAUCGCGCCUGUGAAUAGCCACUGCACUCCAGCCUGGGCAACAUAGCGAGACCCCGUCUCUA
rnacentral:SRP_RNA from 1 species